rnacentral:rRNA from 1 species
ACACUCCUGCGGGAGGCAGCAGUGGGGAAUUUUGGACAAUGGGCGAAAGCCUGAUCCAGCCAUGCCGCGUGCAGGAUGAAGGCCUUCGGGUUGUAAACUGCUUUUGUACGGAACGAAACGGCCUUUUCUAAUAAAGAGGGCUAAUGACGGUACCGUAAGAAUAAGCACCGGCUAACUACGUGCCAGCAGCCGCGGUAAUACGUAGGGUGCAAGCGUUAAUCGGAAUUACUGGGCGUAAAGCGUGCGCAGGCGGUUAUGUAAGACAGUUGUGAAAUCCCCGGGCUCAACCUGGGAACUGCAUCUGUGACUGCAUAGCUAGAGUACGGUAGAGGGGGAUGGAAUUCCGCGUGUAGCAGUGAAAUGCGUAGAUAUGCGGAGGAACACCGAUGGCGAAGGCAAUCCCCUGGACCUGUACUGACGCUCAUGCACGAAAGCGUGGGGAGCAAACAGGAUUAGAUACCCGGGUAGUCCCAUGA